UACGGGAGGCAGCAGUGGGGAAUAUUGCACAAUGGGCGAAAGCCUGAUGCAGCAACGCCGCGUGAGUGAUGAAGGUCUUCGGAUUGUAAAGCUCUGUCUUUUGGGACGAUAAUGACGGUACCAAAGGAGGAAGCCACGGCUAACUACGUGCCAGCAGCCGCGGUAAUACGUAGGUGGCAAGCGUUGUCCGGAAUUACUGGGCGUAAAGGAUGUGUAGGCGGAUAUUUAAGUGAGAUGUGAAAUCCCCGAGCUCAACUUGGGGGCUGCAUUUCAAACUGGGUAUCUAGAGUGCAGGAGAGGAAAGCGGAAUUCCUAGUGUAGCGGUGAAAUGCGUAGAGAUUAGGAAGAACAUCAGUGGCGAAGGCGGCUUUCUGGACUGUAACUGACGCUGAGGCAUGAAAGCGUGGGGAGCAAACAGGAUUAGAUACCCUGGUAGUCCACGCCGUAAACGAUGAGUACUAGGUGUAGGA
rnacentral:rRNA from 1 species